GCCUGGGUGUCUCGUGUCGAAGUUGCUGCUGCAGGGGGCGGUGGCCCUGGGGAUCAACAUGCAGAGAGUCACCCUGGGGUGGCUUCAGAGGGCGGCGGUGGGGGAACAGCAUUUCCGGCCUGUCUCGCCCAGGCAGGGAGCGAGAGGCCACACCCGCGGUGCCGGGACAGCGGCCGCCGGUGCGGAACGCGGCUCCGUGCCCGGGCGUCAGGCGAGAGGCGUCAGGGAGUGGCGACGACAGCAGAUGCCAUGUCCCUGGCCGCAGCCCUCGGGCAGGGAGUGCCGGCCGCCCGCGCCCCUCGGCACCUGGUGGAUCCACGGCCCCGGCGGCAGAUCCCGGGAGGCGCCGCCGGGGACUCCCUACGGGCUGGGGCGGGGCGGGUCCGUCUCGGCGCUAAGAUGGCGGCGAAGGGCUCACACUCGCACGUGAAGCUGGAGGCGGAGAUCGAGCGGUGCCGGGCGGAGGGGUACUGGGGGCGACUCCGCCACCUCGCACAGCAGCUGCUGCCGCCGUGGCCCCCGCGGAAGGCGAAGGCGGUGAGGGGCGCGCAGGACGCAGAGGACCAUGGGAGUUUGUUGCUUGCAGAAGCUCUGCUGGAGGAAUGUUUGAAGGAAAACUUUGCCAAACUGAAGGACUCAAUUCCACUGUCAGAGAAGAGUGAGCCCAAACUGAGUGAAGCUAAACAGUAUCUGACCAAUAUCUUAAGCAGAGGGAAACUAAGACCGAAGUAUAUGACAGAAGCUAUGCUGAUCCUAGGAAAGCUUCAUUAUGUGGAGGGAUGCUACAGAGAUGCCAUCAGCAUGUAUGCAAAAGCAGGGAUUGAUGACCUUUCAACCAAAGAUGAACCUCUGUAUGUGCUGCGUUUGGUAACUGAAGCCUUUGUUGUUAAAGGUUUGUCACUGGAGCGCUCAGCGAACUCAAUUGCCUCACAUGCUCGACUCUGUGAAAGGGAGGAGGAAGUUGUGGCUUGUUUUGAGAGAGCGUGUGUUACUGCUCAAGUGUAUUUGCAGGAGCUUGAGAAGACCUUAAACAACACACAUUCAAGGAGUAUCAAGGGCAGCAGUGUGACUGACUCGGAGUUUGGACUUUCCUACUUUCUGGAAGCAGCUCUACAGAGUGCCUAUGUGACUCAGUUAAAGAAAGGAAAUAUUGUGAAAGGAAUGAGGCGUCUGCGAGAAAUACUACGGACUGUAGAAACAAAAGCUACUCAGACCUUCAAAAUGACUGCAGCCAAACAGUUAGCCCAGGUACUUCUCCAUUCCCUCAGUGAAGACUGUUACUGGAGCCCUUUAUCUGAUCCACUUCCUGAGUUCAUGAACAAGGAAUAUCAGUCUUAUGUUAGCAAUCUUCUUUGUCGGAGACCUGAGUUGUACUCAGAAGAGAAUGUGUACUGCCCUCAAGACAACGUAGAAGAGGCUCUUCUCCUCCUCUUAAUCAGUGAAUCCAUGGCGAACCGGGAUGCAGUGAUCAGCCGAGCCCCAGAGCAGCAGGAUGACCGAGCCAUCAGUCUCCGGGAUGCUUCUGCAGUCUACGAUCUCCUCAGCAUCACGCUGGGCAGAAGAGGGCAGUACGUGAUGCUGUCUGAGUGCUUGGAGAGAGCCAUGAAGUUUGCAUUUGAUGAAUUUCACCUCUGGUACCAGCUUGCCCUGUCCAUGGUAGCUUGUGGAAAGUCAGCGUAUGCUGUGUCGGUGCUCAAAGAGUGUGCUAAACUGCGACCUACAGAUCCCACUGUUCCUCUUCUGGCUGCCAAGGUCUGCAUUGGGUCACUGCACUGGCUGGAAGAAGGAGAGCACUUUGCUAAAAUGGUGAUAGACCUGGGUGAGGAUGCUGGAGAGUCCUUAGCAAAGGGUUACCUGGCACUGGGCCUGACAUACAGCCUUCAAGCUACUGAUGCUACUCUAAAGAGCACUCAGGAUGAAUUAAACAAGAAAGCACUUCACACUUUGGAGAGAGCACGUGACCUGGCCCCCGAAGAUCACCAAAUCAUCCUUUACCUGUCACUGCAGCUGGCUCUUGUCAGGCAGAUUUCUGAUGCUAUAGACCAUCUUCAAGAAGCCCUGCAACUGUGCAAAGAUGACAUGAAUUCACUUCAUCUACUGGCCCUCCUCUUUUCAGCUCAGAAGCACUAUCAGCAUGCAUUGGAUGUUAUCAACAUGGCUGUUGUUGAAUACCCAGAAAGCUUUAGUUUACUCUUCACCAAAGUAAAAUUGGAAUGGAUACAUAAAGGACCUGAAGAGGCUCUGGUGACAUGCAGGCAUAUGUUGCAGAUGUGGCAGAUGGUAUACAAUGUUCUACAUCACAGUGGCUCUGAGAAGGGAAGUAGUGUGAUUGAAACACCUGUAAUCAAAAAGCACAAUGGACUGCAUCUCACUCUUCCAGAUGCUCAUGACACUGAUUCUGGAUCACAACGAGCCUCUUCCCUUGCUGCAUCAAGACUGGAACAGGCCAUGUCUGAAAUAACUAUGCAGAGCAGCACAAUGAAGCAGGGACCUGUGAAGCUGUGGACAACUCUUGAACAAAUUUGGCUACAAGCUGCUGAACUCUUCCUGGAACUGCAGCAUCUCAAAGAAGCAGGCUUUUGUACCCAAGAGGCAGCUAGUCUUUUCCCCACAUCUCAUACUGUACUGUACAUGCGUGGGAGGCUUGCAGAGAUGAAAGGCAAUUUGGAGGAGGCUAAGCAAUUGUAUGAUGAAGCACUCACAGUGAAUCCAGCUGGAGUGGAAAUUAUGCAGAGCCUGGCAGAUUCCAACUGGACCUACAUAGCAACAACAUGCAAGCAUUGUUUAUAGCAAGCCAGACUCCAUGGGGAAAUUAGAAAUUCAGUAGCAAGGAGAAGCUCUAAAGUGCAAAUACCGCAGAGAAGCAAAAACUCAAGUGUUCGAUGCUGUGCCUUCCUGAGGCUUGAGGGCCUGGUGCUGAGCAGACUUGGGCGGAGGGAACUGGCCCAGAAAGUCCUCAGAGAUGCUAUCCGGAUCCAGACCACCAGUCACAUUGCCUGGAACAGCCUUGGAGAGGUCUU